GAUGAACGCUAGCUACAGGCUUAACACAUGCAAGUCGAGGGGAAACGAUAGAGAAAGCUUGCUUUUUCUAGGCGUCGACCGGCGCACGGGUGAGUAACGCGUAUCCAACCUGCCCAUCACUUGGGGAUAACCUUGCGAAAGUAAGACUAAUACCCAAUGACGUCUCUAGAAGACAUCUGAAAGAGAUUAAAGAUUUAUCGGUGAUGGAUGGGGAUGCGUCUGAUUAGCUUGUUGGCGGGGUAACGGCCCACCAAGGCGACGAUCAGUAGGGGUUCUGAGAGGAAGGUCCCCCACAUUGGAACUGAGACACGGUCCAAACUCCUACGGGAGGCAGCAGUGAGGAAUAUUGGUCAAUGGACGAGAGUCUGAACCAGCCAAGUAGCGUGCAGGAUGACGGCCCUAUGGGUUGUAAACUGCUUUUAUAAGAGAAUAAAGUGAGUCUCGUGAGACUUUUUGCAUGUACCUUAUGAAUAAGGACCGGCUAAUUCCGUGCCAGCA
rnacentral:rRNA from 1 species